rnacentral:rRNA from 1 species
AUUGAACGCUGGCGGCAGGCCUAACACAUGCAAGUCGAGCGGUAGCACAGAGAGCUUGCUCUCGGGUGACGAGCGGCGGACGGGUGAGUAAUGUCUGGGAAACUGCCUGAUGGAGGGGGAUAACUACUGGAAACGGUAGCUAAUACCGCAUAACGUCGCAAGACCAAAGUGGGGGACCUUCGGGCCUCAUGCCAUCAGAUGUGCCCAGAUGGGAUUAGCUGGUAGGUGGGGUAACGGCUCACCUAGGCGACGAUCCCUAGCUGGUCUGAGAGGAUGGCCAGCCACACGGGAACUGAGACACGGUCCAGACUCCUACGUGAGGCAGCAUUGGGUAAUAUUGCACAAUGGGCGCAAGCCUUAUGCAGCCAUGCCGCGUGUGUGAAGAAGGCCUUCAGGUUGUAAAGCACUUUAAGUUGGGAGGAAGGGCAGUAAGUUAAUACCUUGCUGUUUUGACGUUACCGACAGAAUAAGCACCGGCUAACUCUGUGCCAGCCGCCGCCGUAACAC